UACGUAGGGCCCGAGCGUUAUCCGGUAUUACUGGGCGUAAAGCGCACGUAGGCGGAUUGGUCAGUUAGGGGUGAAAUCCUGGAGCUCAACUCCAGAACUGCCUUUAAUACUGCCAGUCUCGAGUCCGGAAGAGGUAAGUGGAACUCCUAGUGUAGAGGUGGAAUUCGUAGAUAUUAGGAAGAACACCAGUGGCGAAGGCGGCUUACUGGUCCGGUACUGACGCUGAGGUGCGAAAGCGUGGGGAGCAAACAGG
rnacentral:rRNA from 1 species